CUGUCUCGGCACAAUACGGCAGCUGCAGUUCGCGAUAUCGGCGGUUUGUUGUUUCUUUUUCGGAAAACCUUCUGGUCUUGUGGGUGAUCAAUUCUGUUGGAUGUUAUACUAUUGAAAAUAUAUACAAGUGAGAAGAUAGCAUUGCCGUUGCGGAGAAUUAAGUGUAUUUGAAACCAAAACUGUACUGUAGUGAUUGUCAACAUUCAACAUUCGCCACACACCAAAGAGAUAAUAAGCACAGAUUACGUUUGGACUGAUGGCAUACAUUUUGUAGUUGGAACUCUCGAGGACGCAUAGCUUCCCCAUAGAACCAUGCGGUUAAUCAUCCUGGACACUUCCGACUAUGUCGGCGAAUGGUCGGCCAAGUACGUGAUGAAGCGCAUCAAUGAUUUCAAAGCUGGCCCGGACAACUUCUUUACGCUGGGGCUACCGACCGGAUCCACACCACUUGGCCUGUAUCGGAAUCUGAUCAAGUUCCACAAGGAGGGUAAAAUAUCCUUCAAAUACGUGAAAACCUUCAACAUGGACGAGUACGUCGACCUACCGCGGGAUCACCCGGAAAGCUACCACUACUUUAUGUGGCACAAUUUUUUCAAACAUAUCGACAUCGAUCCGGUCAACGUGCACAUUCUGGACGGGAAUGCACCGGACUUGGUGGCGGAGUGCAACGCCUUCGAGGAUAAAAUCAAGGCCGCCGGUGGAAUUGAACUGUUCAUUGGAGGAAUCGGUCCGGACGGGCACAUUGCAUUCAACGAACCGGGAUCGUCGCUAGUUUCGAGGACUCGUGUGAAAACGUUGGCCCAGGACACACUGGAGGCGAAUGCCCGAUUCUUCGGAAACGACAUGAGUAAGGUACCGAAGCAGGCCCUUACCGUGGGUGUUGGCACCGUGAUGGAUGCCCGGGAGGUGAUGAUCCUGAUCACCGGUGCGCACAAAGCUUUCGCCCUGUACAAAGCCAUCGAGGAGGGAGUAAAUCACAUGUGGACCGUCAGUGCCUUCCAGCAGCAUCCGCAUACGAUAAUGAUUUGCGACGAGGAUGCCACACUGGAACUCCGAGUAAAAACGGUCAAAUACUUCAAGGCCCUUAGUAGUGUUCAUCACAAAUUGAUUGAGGAAGAUGCUAGCGACGUACGAAUGCUCAAAUGAACGCCCAUCGUUUCAAACAUCCUACACAAUCUACUUAUAAAAGCUAUACAUUCCUCAAUAUUGGCCCUACUUUUUACCCAAUCAAGUGCAAAUGGAUUCGAAAUUGGUCUUCCAGGGAUAAUUUAGACAAGAAACAUUUUUGUUAUCACCAUAAAAAGCUUCGAGCCCAUCAAACAUCAAACGAGCCUGUACGAUGUUCAUUCGAAGCUGAUUGAAGGUGCGUAAGACUGGCAGCACUGAAACUGAAGAGUUUUCUAUCCAGAGCAAGAAGACAAGUCACUCGAAUCCAAAGGGUAGUUUUAAAUUGUAUGUUUUUUUUCUCUGUACUCCACUAAUCUAUUAUUAAAAUAUACAAAGUUAUUUUUAUUUUUCA